GAAAUGCGAUAAGUAGUGUGAAUUGCAGAAUUCAGUGAAUCAUCGAAUCUUUGAACGCACAUUGCGCCCCAUGGUAUUCCAUGGGGCAUGCCUGUUCGAGCGACAUUGGUAACCUCAAGCUUUGCUUGGUGUUGGGCGUCUUGUCCUCUUCUGGAGGACUCGCCUCAAAACAAUUGGCAGUCGGCAUAUUGGUAUCGGAGCGCAGCACAAGUCGCACUUUGUUCCAUGAGGGUGGGCAUCCAUCAAGACCAUUUUUUCACUCUUGACCUCGGAUCAGGUAGGGAUACCCGCUGAACUUAA
rnacentral:misc_RNA from 1 species